UCCCUGGUGGCUCAGAUGGUAAAGCAUCUGCCUGCAAUGCGGGAUAUCCGGGUUCAAUCCCUGGGCUGGGAA
rnacentral:tRNA from 1 species